rnacentral:rRNA from 1 species
GACGAACGCUGGCGGCGUGCUUAACACAUGCCAGUCGAACGCUGAAGCUCAGCUUUUGUUGGGUGGAUGAGUGGCGAACGGGUGAGUAACACGUGAGUAACCUGCCCCCUUCUUUGGGAUAACGCCCGGAAACGGGUGCUAAUACUGGAUAUUCACUGGUCUUCGCAUGGGGUUGGUGGAAAGGGUUUUUCUGGUGGGGGAUGGGCUCGCGGCCUAUCAGCUUGUUGGUGGGGUGAUGGCCUACCAAGGCUUUGACGGGUAGCCGGCCUGAGAGGGUGACCGGUCACAUUGGGACUGAGAUACGGCCCAGACUCAUACGGGAGGCAGCAGUGGGGAAUAUUGCACAAUGGGCGCAAGCCUGAUGCAGCGACGCCGCGCGAGGGAUGGAGGCCUUCGGGUUGUGAACCUCUUUCGCUCAUGGUCAAGCCGCAACAAUGGUUGUGGUGAGGGUAGUGGGUAAAGAAGCGCCGGCUAACUACGUG